GUGAAAGGUAAGGGGGAGCGAGAGCGCCGGAGAGAGAAGAUCGGGGGGCUGAAAUCCAUCUUCAUCCUACCGCUCCGCCCGUGUUGGUGGAAUGAGCGUUGCAUGUGUCUUGAAGAGAAAAGCAGUGCUUUGGCAGGACUCUUUCAGCCCCCACCUGAAACAUCACCCUCAAGAACCAGCUAAUCCCAACAUGCCUGUUGUUUUGACAUCUGGAACAGGGUCGCAAGCGCAGCCACAACCAGCUGCAAAUCAGGCUCUUGCAGCUGGGACUCACUCCAGCCCUGUCCCAGGAUCUAUAGGAGUUGCAGGCCGUUCCCAGGACGACGCUAUGGUGGACUACUUCUUUCAGAGGCAGCAUGGUGAGCAGCUUGGGGGAGGAGGAAGUGGAGGAGGCGGCUAUAAUAAUAGCAAACAUCGAUGGCCUACUGGGGAUAACAUUCAUGCAGAACAUCAGGUGCGUUCCAUGGAUGAACUGAAUCAUGAUUUUCAAGCACUCGCUCUGGAGGGAAGAGCGAUGGGAGAGGUAAGUGAACUGGUGUGUCAGAAAAGUGGGUCUGUUUU
rnacentral:sRNA from 1 species